CCGUGCUAGGUGGGGAGGUAGCGGUGCCCUGUAACUUGCAAUCCGCUCUAGCAAGACUGAACUCCUUUCCUAGGCUGAUGUCCUGUAGGGUCUGCCUUAGGUAAGUGGUGUUGACGCUCGGGUCCUGCGCAAUGGGAAUCCAUGAACCAUGUCAGGUCCGGAAGGAAGCAGCAUUAAGUGGACACUCCCAUGUGCCGCAGGGUUGCCUGAGCCGAGCUAACUGCCUAAGUAACGCUUAUGGGCGUCAGUCGAAGAAAGGUGCACGG
rnacentral:SRP_RNA from 1 species